UACAGAGGAGCCAAGCGUUGUCCGGAUUUACUGGGCGUAAAGCGCGUGUAGGCGGCUUGGCAAGUCGGUUGUGAAAGCCCGGGGCCCAACCCCGGAAUUGCAUCUGAAACUGCCUCGCUAGAGUCCCGGAGAGGAAGGCAGAAUUCCCGGUGUAGGGGUGAAAUGCGCAGAUAUCGGGAAGAACACCCGUGGCGAAGGCGGUUCUCUGGGACGGUACUGACGCUGAGACGCGAAAGCGUGGGGAGCGAACAGG
rnacentral:rRNA from 1 species